CAGCCUGGGCCAACUUUGACUGCGUUCGCGGCACUGGGGCUAUUAGGGUCAUGACACCCCCUAUGUGGAUUGGUCACCAGACAUAAUGGGCUAACUGCGAGACGAGUCGAGGUGCGCUAACUACAAAAAAAUGAUCCGGCGCGUUUGCGGCGCCGCUAUCCGUCUUCGUGACUCCGUGAACCGUCGGUGGAGUAGAAUGAGGUGAUCCCGCAGCCCCAGAGCACUCUGACAAAAGGCGCCGCGCCGGAGCAGGCUGCGUAAAGAUUACUGCUCGCUGGCCAGCUGUGGACGGGAUCACCAAGUUGCAGGACCUUGUUCAAGUGGUACAAGUUUUUCGGUAUCAGUGUCAUCUCUCGCCACAGUAAAGCGUAGCAGACAUCCGUCAUAUAAUGUAUAAAUGGUAGCAUAUAAACUUUAGAUUUUCUGCAUUCUUCCAGUGUUUUGUCUUUUCCUUUUUUAUAAGUGACAGCUCAUAGUAUCCCACCAAAGGACGGCGCUGAUGGAGCCAAAGCGAGAAAGCGAGGGAAUGCAGUUGCGCUGAUGGGAUUAAACGUCCUGCCCUGGCUCUCUUUCAUUUGGUGACCUCGCCGCAGAAACAUAAAGGCUAAAAACCAUCUGGCUGGACACUCCCUCAUGUCCCUUGUUUAUGUCUCUCACGUGAUCGUGUGCACGCCGGGCUCACGGGUUACUCACCCAGGUUAAAACAGCCGAAUGGAAAUGUAUUUGUGGUGCGGAUUUGAAUAUGAACCAAGACACUUUGACUCGCUGUCUUUUCUUUCCCCCCAGUUUUUCCCAUUAAACCAGCCCAUAAUAGAAUAGGUUUCAGGUUGCUGAUACAUAAAACACAACAUUGUUUUAGGCUUGACUUUACAACUUGUUUCCUUUAGUGCAAAUUAAUGCUCAUAUGAAUGCGGAGUGCCCUCGGCUGAUUGUACAUCCAAUUUGAACAAUCAAAAUCUAUUUUUCUGGUCCAUUACAUUACCACCAGGGGGCACUUGAUUCCUCAAGCAUGCAGUGUUGUGUUUGACAAAUUGCCACAGAGGUAACACAUGUAUUCAGCGAGAGAAUUAGAGAAUAGGAAUGCGUUUACAACCAGCCCGCCGCCCCCUCGCCCACCUCUAAUUUUCUGUGUGUGUAAUCUGCUAUAUCAUGACAGCCUGCAGCUGCAGCGGAGGAGACGCUUUAACACGAUCAUCCGUGGUCCGUGACAGGGAGGCAGGAGAGACAAAACACUCCUAAACGCAGCAGAUUCUCUGUUAUAAAUCAAGCAUUGCAAUGCUGCGAUGCGGCUUUUUUUCAGGAAAUACACAAGCACAGUUGUUCCUGUAUUCCGUGUUCAGUUACAUCACUGGUAAUAACCCGUGGCAGUUUAAAGAUGUCACAUCGAUACAACGAAUAACACAGUAAUGAACAAAACUGACAAACAGCUGUUUAAAAGUUCCAGGACUUGACUUCCUGUUUGAAACCGUCCUCCGAGCGCAGAGCGCUGUAGCCUUUGCAUUUCUGUCAUUCUGUCACAGCGAAUGCGAACGUGAAAGGCAAUGCUUCAAACUGCUGAAUAAGCAUAAAGUGCAUCUAAACCUGAGGCGUUCAGUACGCCUACAGUAAUAACAGAAGAGAUGACGCGUCAUAUAUCAUAUCAGCCAUUACCAGUUAGAAACAAGAUGAAAACACGCAGCCUGUUGACAGAUCUGAAAAGGGAUUUGCAUUAUUCUGUGGUAUGUUUGUUUCCAAACACACUUGCAGUAGUAAACGUAUCAAUCCAUGUUGAAAAAUGCUUUAUUAUGCAAGAUUUCAUCCCAAACCGUAGUUAAAAUUGUCACUAAAAGCAAAUUUUCUACCUUCAGUUUUUUUCCCAUUCAAAGAAUCCACAUAUUAUUCAGUACAGGAUGCCAGAUUGCAAAUGUUUACUUUAUUAUUUUAUCUCAACAACUAUCUUUAACGCUUGUACCUUUAAGUUCAAAGAGUAAACCCUGGGGGGUGAGGGCUAUAAAUUAUUUGCGAGGGAAAAGGCAUGAUGCAUCUUUUAACAUGUGCAGUCAUUGCAGAGUGCAAAACCUACAAAUGUCAUGUCCUCUUAAGAUCAAAAGUAAUUGGUUAGGCUGCACAACAAGGCACAGGGGGUAACGAGGCAGUUUGCCACUGUAACAGACUCAAAUGCCAUAGUGUGCAGCAUGUCGGUGAGCUAAUAGACCCCCUCGCACAAGGAGAGACCAGAGUUCAUUCUGUCUUAUGAAAUUUAGCUGGAGGUGCAGUCCGCUCUUAACCCAUUACCAGCAUUAGCACCCGCUACAACCUGGAAG